rnacentral:rRNA from 1 species
AGUGAACGCUGGCGGUAGGCCUAACACAUGCAAGUCGAACGGCAGCACAGUAAGAGCUUGCUCUUACGGGUGGCGAGUGGCGGACGGGUGAGGAAUACAUCGGAAUCUACUUUUUCGUGGGGGAUAACGUAGGGAAACUUACGCUAAUACUGCAUACGACCUACGGGUGAAAGCAGGGGAUCUUCGGACCUUGCGCGAUUGAAUGAGCCGAUGUCGGAUUAGCUAGUUGGCGGGGUAAAGGCCCACCAAGGCGACGAUCCGUAGCUGGUCUGAGAGGAUGAGCAGCCACACUGGAACUGAGACACGGUCCAGACUCCUACGGGAGGCAGCAGUGGGGAAUAUUGGACAAUGGGCGCAAGCCUGAUCCAGCCAUACCGCGUGGGUGAAGAAGGCCUUCGGGUUGUAAAGCCCUUUUGUUGGGAAAGAAAAGCAGCAGGUUAAUACCCCGCUGUUCUGACGGUACCCAAAGAAUAAGCACCGGCUAACUUCGUG